GCCGCCUGAGCCAGCAGCAGCAACCCGUUCGGGUCCCUUUCCACCGUGUGGAGGCUGUAUUCUUUUGCUCUUCUCAAUAAAUCUUCCUGCUGCUCAGUCUUUGGGUCUGCACUACCUUUAUGAGUUGUAAUACUCACCGUGAAGGUCUGUAGCUUCACUCCUGAAGUCAGUGAGACCACGAACCCACCGAGAGGAACGAACAACUCCGGACUGCCACCUUUAAGAGCUGUAACACUCACUGCGAAGGUCUGCGGCUUCACUCCUAAAGUCAAGCAAGACCACAAACCCACUGGAAGGAAGAAAGUCCAGACGCAUCUGAACACUGGAAGGAACAAACGUUGGACACACCAUCUUUAAGAACUGUAACACUCACCGUGAGGGUCUGCAGCUUCAGUCUUGAAGUCAGUGAGACCAAGAACUCACUGGAAGGAACCAAUUCUCGACACAAUGGAAUAUGACAAAUCUGAAGCUAUACCUGAGGAAUUAGCUGGAGCUGGACAACAGUAACGAGGUGCAAGUCCCCAUGGAAGAUUCAAGCCUGUCCAGUGGUGUUGAUGUGGACAAAGGCUUUGCCAUUGCCUUUGUUGUUCUUCUGUUUCUGUUCCUAAUAGUGAUGAUUUUUCGGUGUGCCAAGCUGGUGAAGAAUCCCUACAAGGCCAGCUCCACAACCACAGAACCAUCUCUGAGCUGAAGUAUAAUAAAACCUGGUAGACUCCCC
rnacentral:lncRNA from 1 species